rnacentral:rRNA from 1 species
CGGACGGGUGAGUAACGCGUGGGCAACCUGCCCUGUGCCGGGGGAUACCGCCUGGAAACAGGCGCUAAUACCGCAUAAGCGCAUACAGCCGCAUGGCAGUAUGCGGAAAGCUCCGGCGGCACGGGAUGGGCCCGCGCCCGAUUAGCCAGUUGGCGGGGUAACGGCCCACCAAAGCGACGAUCGGUAGCCGGCCUGAGAGGGCGGACGGCCACAUUGGGACUGAGACACGGCCCAAACUCCUACGGAAGGCAGCAG